UACGUAGGGGGCUAGCGUUGUCCGGAAUCAUUGGGCGUAAAGAGCGCGUAGGCGGCCAGAUAAGUCCGGUGUGAAAGUCACAGGCUCAACCUGUGAAUGCCGCUGGAAACUGUCUGGCUAGAGUCCGGAAGGGGCGAGUGGAAUUCCUGGUGUAGCGGUGAAAUGCGCAGAUAUCAGGAGGAACACCAAUGGCGAAGGCAGCUCGCUGGAACGGUACUGACGCUGUGGCGCGAAAGCGUGGGGAGCAAACGGG
rnacentral:rRNA from 1 species